UACGUAGGGGGCAAGCGUUGUCCGGAAUCAUUGGGCGUAAAGAGCGUGUAGGCGGCCCGAUAAGUCCGCUGUGAAAGUCCAGGGCUCAACCCUGGGAUGCCGGUGGAUACUGUCGGGCUCGAGUCCGGAAGAGGAGUGUGGAAUUCCUGGUGUAGCGGUGAAAUGCGCAGAUAUCAGGAGGAACACCAAUGGCGAAGGCAGCUCUCUGGGACGGUACUGACGCUGAGACGCGAAAGCGUGGGGAGCGAACAGG
rnacentral:rRNA from 1 species